rnacentral:rRNA from 1 species
UGGGGAAUAUUUGACAAUGGGCGCAAGCCUGAUCCAGCCAUGCCGCGUGAGUGAUGAAGGCCCUAGGGUUGUAAAGCUCUUUCACCGGUGAAGAUAAUGACGGUAACCGGAGAAGAAGCCCCGGCUAACUUCGUGCCAGCAGCCGCGGUAAUACGAAGGGGGCUAGCGUUGUUCGGAUUUACUGGGCGUAAAGCGCACGUAGGCGGACUUUUAAGUCAGGGGUGAAAUCCCGGGGCUCAACCCCGGAACUGCCUUUGAUACUGGAAGUAUAGAGUAUGGUAGAGGUGAGUGGAAUUCAGAGUGUAGAGGUGAAAUGCGGAGAUAUUCGGAGGAACACCAGUGGCGAAGGCGGCUCACUGGACCAUUACUGACGCUGAGGUGCGAAAGCGUGGGGAGCAAACAGG